rnacentral:lncRNA from 1 species
UUUUUUUUUUUUUUUUUUUUUGAAAUGGGAUUGAUCCAAACAGGAAAUUAAAACGGGACUGACCCGAGCAGAAAUUUAAAAUUGGGACUGACUAGAGAAGGAAAUUCAAAUCAUGGGACUGGCCCGAACAAACUUUAAUCGCGGGACUGACCCGAAUAAGCUUUGAAUCGUGGGACUGACCCGAAUAAUAUUUGAAUCAUGGGACUGACCCGAAUGAGCUUUUGAAUCGUUGAAUCCCGAGGACUGACCUUUUGAUCGAGGGACUGACCCGAAAAUGCUUUUGAUCGAGGGACUGACCCGAAAUGUUUUUGAUCGAGGGACUGACCCGAAAAUCUUUGAUCGAGGGACUGACCCGAAUUUUGAUCGAGGGACUGACCCGAAUGAGCUUUUGAUCGAGGGACUGACCCGAAUGAGCUUUUGAUCGAGGGACUGACCCGAAAAUGUUUUUGAUCGAGGGACUGACCCGAAAAUACUUUUGAUCGAGGGACUGACCCGAAAAUGCUUUUGAUCGAGGGACUGACCCGAAAAUGUUUUUGGUCAUGGGACUGACCCGAAAAUCCUUUUGAUAAUCGGUCAGUGGGAUUAAACCCGAGCCUGCCGUGAUAAAAUCUGUGUUGAUUUUUGAUUGAUGAUUUUUCCUUUUUUUCUUUUUUUUUUGACUUUUGAAAAUCUUUCCAAAAAAUUAAUUUGCCUCAGUAUGAUGAAUUUUUGCAAUGUGAGUCCAGAGUUGAUUCUGUAUCGCCAUGCUGUUGCAUUUUUUGAUGAAAUUUGCUUGCGACAUUUUCAAUCUGCCUUUGUUCACCGGAGGACUCUUUCCGACACCUAUUCUAGUGCGAGGUGUGCUUACUUUCAUCUGUGUAUGCAAUUUUUCUGCAAAAGAGAAAAAAAAAACAAAGAAAUUGCCACCAUCAUUUGAUCCGUUUUCCUUUGAGAAUCGUGUAAACAUGAGUCUUUCAAGGCCUUUAUCAACUUUUGCUGCGGCAGUCGAUUGAGUUGGAUUUUUCACCCUAAGGCCUUUCCAAUUUACAAACUGAUCAGGUAUAUGCUUUGCCAUAUUGUGAAGUCUGCGUAACUGACUUUGUUGAACCUUAACCCUUUUCAAGAGAUGACUGAACCCAAGUAUGCUUCGAAUAAACCACGGAGAUUGUUAUUCACCAAAAUUCAAAGAUAAAGAAUGAAGUAUGCAAGAAAAUUCACAUGUCAUGUAAGAAUAAAUAUGCACAAGAAUGCACACAUAACCAUUUGUGCUUAAAUUCUACAAAAAUGCCAUGAAUGCAAGUAAUUUGGAAAAAUGAGCUUCCUAAGAAUGUAUUUGCAAAAGAAUGUUUUACAAAAUGACACAGUUUUGGCCAACAAAUGUCAUAUUCAAUUCUCUGGAUAUCUUUGUUCUGGAAUUAAAAAUUGACAGAAGUAUGACAAAAUGAGAAGAAAUCCAAAUGAACCAAAUCACCAGCUGUUCUUCCUCGUGCUCGCUUGCUGCAAAAUCCUACCUUGGUGCCCUUUCGGGUUUUUACCAAGGUUGCCCCCCCUUUUUUGUUUCGUUUUGUCUUUUCUCUUUUCUUUUUUCUUCUUUUCUUUCUUUUUUUCUUUUUUUUUUUCUCUUUUUUUCUUUUGAGGUGCCCUUUCGGGUUUUUACCUAAGGAAGCAAUGGAAGAGCUCAACCAUAAUCGCCUCAGGAGUAUGAGUUAAAGAUUUCUGGCAUCAGUAGAAUGUACUUCCCUUGUGAGAUUAGGCGAAGACAUUAUAGACAUCACCUGCCAGUUGAUUAACAAAUUUCCUAAUAGAAAUGCAGCAAGUGACGAAAAUCAGGACUUUGGGCUUUUGUAAUGAGGUCCAGUGGGGUGUUUUUCAAGAAAGGUUGAGGCUUGAAAGCAGAUUUGAUACGAGGGGUGCAAUAACGUGAGAUUGCACCCUUUGGAAAACAACUUCGAAACUGAGGAAAAUUUGCCCCAGUUUGAUCAGAUUUUCUCUCUUUGCAUUUUUCAUUGUAUUUUCCUCACUUUUUGCAUUUUUCUUUGAAAACUAAAUUUGCCCCAGUGUAGGGUUUUCUUUUUUUCUUUUUUUUUUUUUUUUUUUCGAAACAAAUUUGCCCCAGUGUGGGGUUUGCAAUUCUCAAGGGUUAUCAAACGAAAUUUGUCAAUUCUAAUGGCUCAAAGGGAUGACUAGGGAUGAAAUGUUUUGAUUGGAAAAGAAGAUGGCCUGACUUUUGUUUCGCCCCUUGCAUAAUUUCCAAAAGAAAUUUGCAUAACCAAGAUAAAGAAUUUCUUACACAUGUCUGAGUUGAUAGGUUGAGAGAAUAUCUGUCUAUCCAUGAAUGCCCCGCCAGGUAAUACCUUUUGAACACCCAAUGAGCUUUGCCAAUUUGAAGCAAUUUUUGCCUUUGGCUUCAUCUUUCGUUAGCAAAAUCACUUUAGCACUUUGUUCCCUCCUUCAAAGGAUCGGUGGCGGACCUUUUUGUUAUGAACACAGGCCAUGGGUCUUGGCAACAUUUGGCCAUGGCACAUAGCAUUCAACUAUUUCUCAUCAAAUCAAUCGUUGAUGACGCUGCUUUAACUCAUCAGCUUCCAACCUGGCAGGAAAGGGAUUUUUCAAUGAAGAAUUUCUCAAUGAAGGGUUUUCUCAAUGAAGGCUUUCUCAAUGAAGGUUUUCUCAAUGAAGGUUUUCUCUCAAAGAAGAGGUUUUUCAAUGAAGGGCUUCAUCAGAUUCCAGAACAGUGAUAUUCAAAGGAUCAAAUAAUUUCAUCUUUGGCCAUCUAAAAGAAUUAAAAAAACUUCAUGACAAUGAUCAAAUAAACAAAUAAAACCAAUUGUGCAUUUCAUGAAACUCCAAAUCAAAGCGAAAACAAGACAAAACUCAAUUUGCAAAAGGCGCUUUCAUUAAGCUAUUCACACAUGCAAGAAAAAGUCUUUGUAAACUUUAGCAAAUGACAACCCCUAGAUUUAUCGAAAUUAUCUUCGAGGGGGAAGAUAGUCAGCCAUCCAACUUGUGCAAAGCUCCUUUAGGAUUUUCAAAUUUCGUCAUUGGAAGUGGAUGCCUCAAAGGUGUCCUUGUGUUUAGGAAAGGGAUUUGUACUUAUACUUGGUCCUUGUCCACCC